CGGCACCGGGCGGCAGCAGCGCCGCCCAGCUCAGCCCGGGGGCAGGGACAGAGCAGAGGGAAAAGCCGGGGCAGUUCUGUCACAAGAAGCAACAGUGCACGCCCAGAAAAAUAGCUCAAGGCAAGGUCACCUUUCAUACUGAAGCAUUCAGUGAAUAUGACCAGCAGAGACCCCUCUUAAUGAAUCUGCAGGACCAUCAAAAGACUUCCAGGAGGAGAAGUAUUGCAACUUGCUGGAAUUCCAGAUUGUGUCAAAUAUGACACUUUGCAUUUGUUCAGCAGUUUCAUUGUGCUGCAAGAGGGAGCUACCCUGGGUCAGACAUGACAUUGGAGAUGGAGGCUUCUGAUAGCUGACUAAGAGGCCAACCUGGUGAUCCCAGUGCCUUUGGAGAUGGCUGAGGUGGACUCCUUUUGCAUCCAGUGUGGAUUCACAUCACUGGUCAUCUGAAAGCUAAGUUGGGGGCCAGGGCCCGGAGAUGGGAUGAUAGCAAGGUAGUGGGUUGGAAAUUCCUGGGAGAGAUUUAAAAACUAGCGUAGGGGAAAGGGAUGCUCUCCAAGGGACUUCUUAGGUAAGCUAAAGGGAGCAGCCCUACUUUUGACUGCAACUGUAGGGUGUGCAGCGCAGAGCAGUUCCAGUGUGUGUUGUCUUGUCUGGUGUGUGUUCUGUGUCUUUGGCUUCCCUUGGAUCAGAUCUCUCUGCCUUUUACCCUUAAGGGGCUUAUCAUAAGCAUUGGCCAUCAUCUCUAGCUUCUUGAACUUUUGUACUUCUUGUUAGGAUGCCAAUAUCACUUGUUCUUUUACCAGUGGGCUUGGCCACAUCUUGGAAUCACAUCUUGAAAGCAUUGAGUCGGAUCUCUUUUGAGGCCUUGUUCCUGGCUGUACUGCCAUCCAUCCUUUGCAGUUGUGAGCUGUAAUGUCCUGGGGCUUGUAAGAUUGUCCGGAUAUGGGAGCAUUCUAAAUGUGGCCUUGUCUCUCACAGCCAUCUUGAUCGUUGUGAGUGACAGUUCUUAGAACAGGUCACUGUUCCAGCCUUUUCUUCUGCUCCUUAGAGCCUCUUUCAUCCACCAUUGCCAUACCUUCAGUUGUCUCUUUUGGCGUUGUCUCUGUCCUUGCCAUUGUUCUUCUUGCCGAGAGCUUUUUUUAUCAUCUUCAUGUCACACUGCUUGUAGUAUAAUGUGUUGUUUGAGUUUGUGUCUAGCCUGGAAUUGCUCUGCCCUGUAGAGUAGUCCUGGGGGGGGGGGGGGGUAGGUGGAGAAGAAAGGAGACUUUACAGGGAGCCUUUUGCUUUGCUCAGCCACCUGAGCCACGCCUCGGAUGGAGUGACUGUGGCCAGUCUGUGUGGUGUUCAGUGGAGACGUGGGAGUGGUGCAGUGGUGUCUUGCAGUUUCAUAGUAGUUUGUCCUAAGGCCCACUGUUGUGGGAUCCUAGGCAGUUUGCUUUGAGGAAUGAGAACUUGGGAAAGGCUAAGCUUUCCUUGUCUGUCUGGGUAACUUUG